ensembl:lncRNA
CGGGUCUCUCGAAGUACCGAAUUGCUUUACGGUACUAGUACAGACCCAACACGGAACCGGAUCGAUAUAAACGAAAGUAGCGCAGGGUUUGUUACAUUCAUCAUGGAUCAGCCGACUAAAAUGAGACAGAAAAUCCCUAUGUCGGAGAAACCACAAGAGAAAAGGGAGACCGAUAGAGAGGCCAGACACGAGUAAACGUUGGGCGAGCUUUUCAGGAAUAGCGUGAACUGAAAGAAAAAGACUGCAAAUCAGAUGCCGACUUGCCAUGGCCGUGUUGCUCUUGAAAUUGGGUGUUCGCGUACUCGCUACCAACACCUUCGUUUCCAUGGUUGUUUUGCUGUUCGUCUGUCUCGUCCCCCAGAUAAAGGCUAAAUCCCCGAAUCCAGGUUCUUGUUUAUUUAGAUCACUAGACCGCUAUUCGAAUGCCUUCGAUUUUCUAAGGGUGUACUGUAUAGCCUAUAUCGUGAUAUGUCCGGCUGGCCAUAUAAUGCAGUUACCUGCACGAGAGCUGCUAGUUGGCACAUAUUCGUCGGUAACAGAACUGUUACGAUACGUGAACCUCCAUUAUAGCUUUAGCCAUGUUAUACCUUUUGCGUAGCUCCCCGCUUGUAACCAUGUCUGUAAAAAGUUUGCUUUGUAUUUUUUUCUUAGUUACAAGCGUUGGCAAACAGCAUUGCUAUGACGCUUGAUGACCCAAGACGGCUCGGCCUGCCUGCCCCGGUACAGCCAACACCCAAAUCCGAACUUGUGCGGGUACAAAUGUGACGAGGAAAUCUAGAGAACCCUCAAGAAGAUGUUACACAAUAGCCGUAAGGCAAGAAACAAACUGUCACUUUAAUGCAUUUCUUUCAAUAUCCAAA